rnacentral:antisense_RNA from 1 species
UGUGGGAGCUGGCUUGCCAGCGAUGCGGGCGCUGCGGUCUGCAAGAAAUACCGAGGUGAUGCCAUCGCUGGCAAGCCAGCUCCCACA